GCGGCAGGUAGCUUAGUGGUUAGAGUGUAGAGGCGGCAGGUAGCCUAGUGGUUAGAGUGUAGAGGCGGCAGGUAGUCUAGUGGUUAGAGUGUAGAGGCGGCAGGUAGUCUAGUGGUUAGAGUGUAGAGGCGGCAGGUAGUCUAGUGGUUAGAGUGUAGAGGCGGCAGGUAGUCUAGUGGUUAGAGUGUAGAGGUGGCAGGUAGUCUAGUGGUUAGAGUGUAGAGGCGGCAGGUAGCCUAGUGGUUAGAGUGUAGAGGCGGCAGGUAGCCUAGUGGUUAGAGUGUAGAGGUGGCAGGGUAGCCUAGUGGUUAGAGUGUAGAGGCAGCAGGUAGUCUAGUGGUUAGAGUGUAGAGGCGGCAGGUAGCCUAGCGGUUAGAGUGUAGAGGCGGCAGGUAGUCUAGUGGUUAGAGCGUUGGACUAGUAAACGAAAGGUUGCAAGAUUGAAUCCCCGAGCUGACAAGGUAAAAAAUCUGUCGUUUUGCCCCUGAACAAGGAAGUUAACCCACUGUUCCUAGGCCG
ensembl:lncRNA